UCGAGAGGGAAAGAGCCCAGACCAUCAGCUAAGGUCCCUAAAAUGUGCUAAGUGGAAAAGGUUGUGGGUCCACUGAAACAGCCAGGAGGUUGGCUUAGAAGCAGCCAUCCUUUAAAGAUAGCGUAACAGCUCACUGGUCUAGCAGGCCCGCGCCGAAAAUUCAACGGGGCUAAGCACAUUACCGAAGCUAUGGAUCCACAUUUCGGUGUGGAUGGUAGGGGAGCAUUCUGCCAACCAGCGAAGGUGUCUCGUGAGGGAUGCUGGAGGAAGCAGAAGAGAGUAUGCUGACAUGAGUAGCGAUAAACAAGGUGAAAAACCUUGUCGCCGUAAGCCCAAGGUUUCCUGAGCAAGGGUAAUCCUCUCAGGGUUAGUCGGUCCCUAAGGCAAGGCCGAAAGGCGUAGUUGAUGGGAAACAGAUUAAUAUUUCUGUACCACCAGGUGAACGUUUGAGUGAAGGGGGGACGGAGAAGGGUAGGCCAUCCGGGUGACGGAAUACCCGGUUCAAGCAGGUAGGAGGGGUACAUAGGCAAAUCCGUGGACCCAUAACUCCGAGAUGUGAUGAGGAGUCCCUUUGGGACAUAAACUGGUUAAUCCCACGCUUCCAAGAAAAGCCUCGUAGCGAGUUUGUCUGGUGACCGUACCGCAAACCGACUCAGGUGGGCGAGGAGAGAAUCCUAAGGCGCUUGAGACAACCCUGGUUAAGGAACUCAGCAAAAUUGCACCGUAACUUCGGGAGAAGGUGCACUCCGGCGUGUGUAAGAACUUACUUCUGAAGCAUUCUGGAGUCGCAGUGAAGAGGGGGUGACGACUGUUUACUAAAAACACAGGGCUCUGCAAACUCGUAAGAGGAUGUAUAGGGUCUGACGCCUGCCCGGUGCUGGAAGGUUAAGGGGAGAUGUUAUUCAAGGAAACGAGGAGAAGCAUUGAACCGAAGCCCCAGUAAACGGCGGCCGUAACUAUAACGGUCCUAAGGUAGCGAAAUUCCUUGUCGGGUAAGUUCCGACCUGCAUGAAUGGCGUAACGAUUGCCCCGCUGUCUCAACCAGGGACUCAGCGAAAUUUUACCAAGGGUGAAGAUACCCUUAACCCGCAGCAAGACGGAAAGACCCCGUGAACCUUUACUAUAGCUUGACAGUGAACUUCGGGAUAGUAUGUGUAGGAUAGGUGGGAGGCUUUGAAGCGGUGCCGCAAGGUGUCGUGGAGCCAGCCUUGAAAUACCACCCUUAUUGUUUUGAGGUUCUAACUCAGGUCCCUUAACGGGAUCGAGGACAUUGUCUGGUGGGUAGUUUGACUGGGGCGGUCGCCUCCAAAA
rnacentral:rRNA from 1 species